UUAAAGGAAUUGACGGAAGGGCACCACCAGGAUUGGAGCCUGCGGCUUAAUUUGACUCAACACGCGAAAACUCACCCGGCCCGGACACAGGAAGGAUUGACAGAUUGAGAGCUCUUUCUUGAUUCUGUGGGUGGUGGUGCAUGGCCGCUCUUAGUUGGUGGAGCGAUUUGUCUGGUUAAUUCCGUUAACGAACGAGACUCUAGCCUACUAAAUAGACGUUCCGAUCCUCCGAGUCGGACGUUCUUCUUAGAGGGACAGGCGGCGUUUAGCCGCACGAAACAGAGCAAUAGCAGGUCUGUGAUGCCCUUUGAUGUCCGGGGCCGCACGCGCGCUACAUUGAAGGAACCAUCGUGUGCUUUCCCUGUCCGACAGGACUGGGUAACCCGUUGAACCUCCUUCGUGCUGGGGAUAGGCAAAUUGUAAUUAUUUUGCAUGAACGAGGAACUACCCAGUAAGCAUGAGUCAUCAGCUCAUGUUGAUUAUGUCCCUGGCCUUUGUUCACACCGCCCGUCGCUACUACCGAUUGAAUGAUUUAGUGAGGUCUUCGGACUGGCGCUCGGAUUGGCUUUCGGGUCGAGCCGACGUGCCGGAAAGAUGACCAACCUUGAUCACUUACAGGAAGUAAAAAUCGUAACAAGGUUUCC
rnacentral:rRNA from 1 species